CAAAUAUUCCCUCAAGUUCUAUCGACCAGCGAUACAACUCUACAAGCACUUAACAUUUUGUGACGCCCCCGAUUCAAUCAUACACUAAUCAUAGACGCAAAUGUGUACGAUCAAGAUCAGGGACUCACGGGAAGAUAUCAUAACACAACUCUAGACACAAAUUAAAAUAAUACAAGCUUUAUAUUACAAGCCAGGGGCCUCGAGGGAUUGAAUACAUCAUCUCGAAUACACAAGAGUCAGCGGAAGCAACAAUAUCUGAGUACAAACAUAAGUUAAACAAGAUCCGCCUUAAGAAGGCUAGCACAAAAAUCAACGAUCAAAAAGGCAAGGCCUCCUGCCUGGGAGCCUCCUAACUACACCUAGUCGUCGGUGGCCUCCACGUAGUAGAAGGCACCCUCGGGAUAGUAGUAGUCGUCGGUGGUGGCAUCUCGCUCCUGGGAUCCAUCAUCUGAUCGCAACAUCCGGAAGGAAGAAAGUAGGAUGAAAAAGGGUAGCAAAGCAACCUUCAGUACUCACCCUAAGUACUCGCAAGACUUACAUCAGAUCUAUACUAGUAUGCAUCGGUAUCAAAGGGAAGGGGCUCGAUCUAUGGAAUAUACUAUAGAAUGCCAGAAUAGAAGGGAAGGCCUAGCCUAUCGAAGACUAGCAUCUACAAGCAUCUUGCAGAAUCAAAAGAGAUAAGAGUAGCAUAUUAUAAUUAACAAGUAUGUUGUACCAUUAGCACCCAGAGAUCCUUUCUCAACUCCCUGCGAGAAAGCAAUCUCGGAGCCAACAUAUCCCAUCAUCAGCUCAGUAUCCGGUUCUAGUUGUAUAGAUCGGGAUACAACUCCAAGUCAUCAUGUUACCGAGGACACGGCUAUUCGAAUAGAUUAACUUCCCAGCAGGGGUGCACCACUUUACCAACAUGCUCGAUCACUCUGGCCAGACACACUUUCCUGGGUCAUGCCCGGCCUCAGAAGAUCAACACGUCGUAGCCCUACCUAGGCUCAACACAGAGGCGAACACGCCGGUCUAAAUCCUAAGCAUGCAGGGGUCUUGGGCCCAUCGUCCAUUGCACUCCUACAUGUUGCGAACGCGGCUGGUGAGCAGACCUGGCAACCUCAAUUACAAAGGCGGUUGCUUUACACGGUCCAACCCGACGCACGCCGCUCAGUCGUUGACGUCUGGAAAGCUCCGACUGAUACUACGACGCCGAUUGCCCAUAUCUUGUCCCGCGUGGUGGUUAGUGCAUAUAGGACAAUGGCCAACUCAAAUCAAAUACCCAAAUCGUUAGUGUCUUGGGGGCGCGCAGAAAUGAGCAGAGACUCAUGAUCAUGUGACCCCGUCACCCCGUCUCGUGGACUUAUGGCAAGGGCCCGGAAUGCCCGGCCGUGCCACGUAGAAAUCUCGCGGGUACCCUCCAGGUCAACCCGAGUACACAUCAACUCGCGAGUACCCCUCAGGGCCGACCCGACUUCAACAUGGUUCUGUGGUAAAGUCAAAGUAACCGUGUGUCCAAUACACCAAGGGGGAAUCCAAGGAAUCACCCUCUAUGGAAUCCACCUGAAGUAAUUGUCAAGGUGAACUAGGAGGAAUCACCCUCGAGGUUCACGCUUGAGGUGUUGCACGAAAGAGUCGUAUCGGGAGUAGUGAAGGAGGAAUCACCCUCUAUGACCACGGCCGAAUAGCUACACUACAGAGUUAACAUCAGAAGUGCUAUACGAGGUAUCACCCUCGGCACUCGAUAGUAGCUCUGCAAAGUCAUACAACUAAGGGGGGGAUGUGAUGUGAUGUGUCGGGCCCUGGACGUCAAUCACGUUGAUCGAGUCAUCGAACAUGAAGCGGGGGCAUCAGGGACAAGGUGAGGGUCCACUGAUGGAACACUAACGGGCCUAUACUAAAUAGUUUAGGAUAAGCAGGUAAGGUACAAGAGCAGGUUACAACAGCAGGCUAUGCAUUAGAAUAGGAGCAAUCAAGUGUAGUAGCAAAAUCUAAUGCAAACAUGAGAGAGAAUGGAAUGGGUGAUAUCGGAAUGAUCAAGGGGGGUUUGCUUGCCUGGAAGCUCUGUUGAUAAGGAAGGGUCGUCGUCGACGUAGUCAAUCAGUGACAUCGAGGGGUCUAGCGGAGAGAAGAGGGGGAAGAAACAAUAAAUAUAAAGUAGACAAAGCAUCACAAAGCAUAACAUGGCAAUACGAUGUGCUAGGGGUGAGCUAUCGCAGUGCUACAUGAUACAGGUGAAGGGGGAAAACAUCCGGAAAUGUUACCCAUCGUUUGGCAUUUUCCGGACAGACGAAGAGAGGGGACGUUUCCAUGUUCAUCAUGCUAGAGGCAUGUGACACAUGAACGGAUUGCAUAUUCAGAUUCGUUGUAUUUUUCUGAGCAACUUUCAUAUAUAAAUUAUUUUCAUCCGAGUUAUGGUUUAUUUCAUAUUAAUUUUUAAAGUUUUAUUCUGGAUUUUACGGAAUUCUUUUUAAUUCGAAAAUUAAAUGUAAAAGCUAUGUGUACCCACUGUGUGCACAGCCAGAGAGGCUGACAGGUGGGCCAGGGGGUUGCUGACUCAGCAGGUCAAUCGGUCAAUGUUGACCAGUCAAACUGGCAGGUGGGGACCACUUGUGAGUGACACAUGUUUUUCAACAGGUUAAAUAAACUAGUUUAAUUAGUAGUAGGCCCCACUGUCAUGGAGUAGACUAAUCAAAACAUUAAACUAAUUCCUAAACUAAUCAUGUUCAAUUACCUAAUCUAAUCUAAAUGGGGGCCGGACCCAACAUGGCAGUGGGCCAACCGGAGUGUCCACGGCCGGGCACGCACGAACGCUCAAGGCGUCGGCGACCACUGCCAGAAGCCGGCGGGGCAGGGAGCGGCCGGUAGCGGGCGGCGCCGGCACGGGGCUAGGCGUGGCCGGCGGCGGCCGGCACCGGCACGGAAGCCGCAGAGCUGCGCGCAGCAGUAGGCGGCGGAGGCGGGCAAGCAAUAGAGCAGCAGCAGGUGCGGGUGGGGGCUCAGCAGGCGAAGGGAGCAAGGUGCGGCUGCGGUGGUAGCCAGAGGAGGGCGCGCAGCAGAGGGGGCACGCGGAGCGCAUGGUAAGCGCGGCACGGUCGUGGUGAGCCCGGGUAGGGUGGUGCGGGGACCUACGACGAGGAGGGGGAAAGAGGGGGGCCGAGAGAGAAGCUCACUAGAUGGGGCGAAGGCAUGCUCGGGAGGGGUCGGGGGCGUGCCGGAGCGUGGAUCCGCGGCGAGGCAUCGGGUGGCGACCGUCGGUGAAGACCAGGA
rnacentral:lncRNA from 1 species